rnacentral:misc_RNA from 1 species
GGGGUGCAUAUUGUCGAUCUCUGCCCUUUUAUAUUCUGACAAAGUCUAAUUUACCUUCUUUGUCUUCUUUUUGAUCUUUCUGCACUUAUAAAUAGUACCACAGCAUGUUUUUUUUCCAAGUUUCUUGCGUAACCCCUUGGUGGGCAACAAAGCUAGCCAACUAAGCAACCAGAAACAGCAAACACAGGGAAAAAGAAAAGAAGGAAUUUCUUUCUUCUUUAUUCACAUCUUUGCCUCCCUUAUUUGCUCGCUUCUCAUUCUCAGAUUGUCUUUUACUUUGCAAGAAGAAACUAGUAUGGCUCAGGCUGAGAUCUCAGUAGCUAAUGGCAGGCAUGGAGUUGUAUUGGAUGUUAAGGAUGAUAAUCCUUGUAAUCCUGCUCCAGCUGGUAAUAAGCCUCCUCCUUGUGCCUCCAAAACUAAAGAAGAUUCAAUCUCAAGCAUCUCCGUACCUUUCAUUCAAAAGUUGAUAGCUGAGAUGGUUGGCACUUACUUCUUGAUAUUUGCCGGAUGUACAUCGGUGGCGGCGAAUUUGAACUACGACAAGGUGGUGACACUUCCAGGAAUAUCAAUAGUUUGGGGAUUAGCGGUGAUGGUCUUGGUUUACUCUGUUGGUCACAUCUCUGGUGCCCAUUUCAACCCGGCUGUCACUCUUGCCUUUGCCACCUGCAAGAGAUUUCCCUGGAAACAGGUAAAACCAAACUAAAUCUACUUUGUUGAAAAUUGGUUAACUACACUUGCGGGAAACCUUUAGGGGUAAGAAAUUGUUGCAAUAAAAAAAUUGGUUUAUUUUUGUUUAUUGAAAUUUCUCACUUGUUUGUAAUAAGAAUUGUGUUCACAUGUACCCCUCGGCAUUUUCUGAAUGCUAAUUAAGUACAUUUGACCCUCCCCAGAGCUGACAAUGCAGGAUGCAGGAGGCCUGGUCAACUGGAGCACUUGAACUCAUUUGUUUCGAAAUGUUUAUUUGGGAUUAUUAUAGAAUCUACUUUGUGUUACAAAGUGUAAAAGUAAACGGCAUUAUGAGGUUGAAAUCAAUUCAAUCAAGCUGUUGAACUGAGCUCCGGUAGAAGGUUAUGUAUUGAUAUUCUUUUUUCCCCCUUUCCCCUCUUCUUGUUUGGUCAUGUAGGUUCCAGCUUAUAUAGCAUGCCAAGUCACUGGAUCAACACUAGCUGCUGGAACAAUUCGAUUAAUUUUUACUGGGAAGCAAGAUCAAUUCACAGGAACAUUGCCAGCAGGAUCAGAUAUGCAGUCCUUUGUAGUUGAGUUUAUAAUCACAUUCUAUCUCAUGUUUAUCAUAUCAGGUGUCGCUACCGAUAAUCGAGCUGUAAGUUAUUAUUCUUCACCUAAUCAUUGAUUCUAGACUUAGAAUACAAAAACUUAAUAAAGAAUAAUGUGGCUUGCCAAUAGAGUUGGCUAAUCCGUACUCGCUGAUUAAGUUACCAACUUAUUGACCUAUUAUAACUUUUUUAGUGUAUUCCUUAGAAUUUGAAUUAUUUUGAUUGUGAAAAGUGAUUGCUGAUGUUUAUGCAGAUUGGUGAACUUGCUGGACUUGCUGUUGGUGCUACGGUUCUCUUAAAUGUGAUGUUUGCAGGGUAUCCACCUAAUCAAGUUUGCUUAGAAUACGUAAUCAAAUUAAGCAAUAAUCAAUAUUAUCCAAAAUCUAAAUCGUUGACUAGUGAUGAAUUGUUUGCUUGUAUGACAUAUAAGUUAAUUAUUUACUAAUGAAAAUAAAUACCCUUUUGAUGGUUUUGCUGAUAUCAUUUUGCAAAUCAGCGCAAUUUCAGGGGCAUCAAUGAACCCAGCAAGAAGCCUGGGGCCUGCAAUUGUAUCAAGUCAAUACAAGGGGCUAUGGAUUUAUAUUGUGUCGCCAAUACUUGGUGCUCAAGCAGGUGCAUGGGUCUAUAACAUGAUUAGAUAUACAGAUAAGCCUCUGAGAGAGAUCACCAUGAGUGCUUCAUUCCUCAAGAACACAGGACGUGCUUAACAAGAAAAUGAUUUCUCUUACUGGCUCUUUAUUUCAUGUAAUCUAAUACAAGAUAAGACCUUUAAUUCCUGUAUCUGAAGGAUAUUCUGUAAUUUUUCCUGCUCAUCAAUGCAAUAGAAAGAUUUCCAU